rfam:Schistocephalus solidus strain NST_G2 genome assembly, scaffold: SSLN_scaffold0003383
GGCCUCGUAGCUCAGUUGGCUAGAGCGUUGGCUGUACUAAAGCCUUCCCCUUGCUGGAAUGGGUUCGAAUCCCACCAAAGCCA